rnacentral:rRNA from 1 species
GAUGAACGCUGGCGGCGUGCCUAAUACAUGCAAGUCGAGCGAACAGACGAGGAGCUUGCUCCUCUGAUGUUAGCGGCGGACGGGUGAGUAACACGUGGAUAACCUACCUAUAAGACUGGGAUAACUUCGGGAAACCGGAGCUAAUACCGGAUAACAUGUUGAACCGCAUGGUUCAACAGUGAAAGACGGUCUUGCUGUCACUUAUAGAUGGAUCCGCGCCGCAUUAGCUAGUUGGUAAGGUAACGGCUUACCAAGGCAACGAUGCGUAGCCGACCUGAGAGGGUGAUCGGCCACACUGGAACUGAGACACGGUCCAGACUCCUACGGGAGGCAGCAGUAGGGAAUCUUCCGCAAUGGGCGAAAGCCUGACGGAGCAACGCCGCGUGAGUGAAGAAGGUCUUCGGAUCGUAAAACUCUGUUAUUAGGGAAGAACAAAUGUGUAAGUAACUAUGCACGUCUUGACGGUACCUAAUCAGAAAGCCACGGCUAAAUACGUG